GAUGAACGCUGGCGGCGUGCUUAACACAUGCAAGUCGAACGAAGCAUUUGCGACAGUUUUUUUCGGAAUGAAGUUGCUUAUGACUGAGUGGCGGACGGGUGAGUAACGCGUGGGUAACCUGCCUUGUACUGGGGGAUAGCAGCUUGAAACGGCUGGUAAUACCGCAUAAGCGCACAAUGUUGCAUGACAUGGUGCGAAAAACUCCGGUGAGAUAGGAGGGACCGGAGCCUGAUUAGCUAGUUGGUGAGAGAACAGCCCACCAAGGCGACGAUGCGUAGCCGAGCAGAGAGGCUCAGCCGAGACUUUUGGGCUGAGAAGCAGUCGAGAAUCCUACGCGAGGGAGGAGUGGGGAAUAGUGCAAAAUGGAGGGAGCGCUGAUGCAGUGACGCCGCGUGAGUGAAGAAGUAAGUCGUGAUGUAAAGCGCUAGCAACAGGGAAGGUAGUGACGGUACCUGACUAAGAAGCUCCGGCUAAAUACGUG
rnacentral:rRNA from 1 species